UAAACAUUGAUUCAUUAUUACAUUUUUCAAUUCGCCCGGGUACUACAAGCACUAGCUUAAAACCCAAAGGACUUGGCGGUGCUUAAGAUCCCCCUAGAGGAGCCUGUUCUAGAACCGAUAAUCCACGUUUAACCUCACCCUCUCUUGUUUUUCCCGCCUAUAUACCGCCGUCGUCAGCUUACCCUGUGAAGGUUUAACAGUGAGCAAAAAUGGCACAGCCCAAAACGUCAGGUCGAGGUGUAGCGUAUGAGAGGGGAAGAAAUGGGCUACAUUCUCUAAAAAUAGAAGCACACGGAUAAUAUAUUGAAACAUAUAUUUUAAGGAGGAUUUAGCAGUAAGUAGAAAUUAGAAUAUUCCACUGAACCCGGCCCUAAAGCGCGC
rnacentral:rRNA from 1 species